rnacentral:piRNA from 1 species
AUAGAGGUCAAAUCUCCAGUGUGCAGG